UCCGAAGGGGGCUACCGUUGUUCGGAAUCACUGGGCGUAAAGCGCACGUAGGCGGAUUUGUUAGUCAGGGGUGAAAUCCCGGGGCUCAACCUCGGAACUGCCUUUGAUACUGCAGAUCUCGAGUCCGGAAGAGGUGAGUGGAAUUCCUAGUGUAGAGGUGAAAUUCGUAGAUAUUAGGAAGAACACCAGUGGCGAAGGCGGCUCACUGGUCCGGUACUGACGCUGAGGUGCGAAAGCGUGGGGAGAAAACAGG
rnacentral:rRNA from 1 species